AUUGAACGCUGGCGGCAUGCCUUACACAUGCAAGUCGAACGGUAACAGGUCUUCGGAUGCUGACGAGUGGCGAACGGGUGAGUAAUGCAUCGGAACGUGCCCAGUAGUGGGGGAUAGCUCGGCGAAAGCCGGAUUAAUACCGCAUACGACCUGAGGGUGAAAGGGGGGGAUCGCAAGACCUCUCGCUAUUGGAGCGGCCGAUGUCAGAUUAGCUAGUUGGUGGGGUAAAGGCCUACCAAGGCAACGAUCUGUAGUUGGUCUGAGAGGACGACCAGCCACACUGGGACUGAGACACGGCCCAGACUCCUACGGGAGGCAGCAGUGGGGAAUUUUGGACAAUGGGCGCAAGCCUGAUCCAGCAAUGCCGCGUGCAGGAAGAAGGCCUUCGGGUUGUAAACUGCUUUUGUCAGGGAAGAAAUCUUCUGGGUUAAUACCUCGGGAGGAUGACGGUACCUGAAGAAUAAGCACCGGCUAACUACGUGCCAGCCGCCGCCGUAAUAC
rnacentral:rRNA from 1 species